rnacentral:rRNA from 1 species
UACGAAGGGUGCAAACGUUGCUCGGAAUUAUUGGGCGUAAAGCGCACGUAGGCGGCUUGGCAAGUCGGAUGUGAAAGCCCUCGGCUCAACCAAGGAAGUGCAUCCGAAACUGCUGAGCUUGAGUACUUAAGAGGAUCGCGGAAUUCCCGGUGUAGAGGUGAAAUUCGUAGAUAUUGGGAGGAACACCAGUGGCGAAGGCGGCUCACUGGACCGGUACUGACGCUGAUGCGCGAAAGCGUGGGGAGCAAACGGG